rnacentral:rRNA from 1 species
AGAGUUUGAUCCUGGCUCAGAUUGAACGCUGGCGGCAUGCCUUACACAUGCAAGUCGAACGGCAGCACGGGGGCAACCCUGGUGGCGAGUGGCGAACGGGUGAGUAAUACAUCGGAACGUGUCCUGUAGUGGGGGAUAGCCCGGCGAAAGCCGGAUUAAUACCGCAUACGCUCUACGGAGGAAAGGGGGGGAUCUUAGGACCUCCCGCUACAGGGGCGGCCGAUGGCAGAUUAGCUAGUUGGUGGGGUAAAGGCCUACCAAGGCGACGAUCUGUAGCUGGUCUGAGAGGACGACCAGCCACACUGGGACUGAGACACGGCCCAGACUCCUACGGGAGGCAGCAGUGGGGAAUUUUGGACAAUGGGGGAAACCCUGAUCCAGCAAUGCCGCGUGUGUGAAGAAGGCCUUCGGGUUGUAAAGCACUUUUGUCCGGAAAGAAAACCUCUGGGUUAAUACCCCGGGGGGAUGACGGUACCGGAAGAAUAGCACCGGCAAUAUC